AUCUAGCUGAUGAGUUCCAAAUAGGACGAAACGCGCGUCCUGGAU
rnacentral:hammerhead_ribozyme from 1 species